GACGAACGCUGGCGGCGUGCUUAACACAUGCAAGUCGAACGGAAAGGCCCUGCUUUUGUGGGGUGCUCGAGUGGCGAACGGGUGAGUAACACGUGAGUAACCUGCCCUUGACUUUGGGAUAACUUCAGGAAACUGGGGCUAAUACCGGAUAGGAGCUCCUGCUGCAUGGUGGGGGUUGGAAAGUUUCGGCGGUUGGGGAUGGACUCGCGGCUUAUCAGCUUGUUGGUGGGGUAGUGGCUUACCAAGGCUUUGACGGGUAGCCGGCCUGAGAGGGUGACCGGCAACAUUGGGACUGAGAUACGGCCCAGACUACUAAGGGAGGCAGCAGUGGGGAAUAUUGCACAAUGGGCGGAAGCCUGAUGCAGCAACGCCGCGUGCGGGAUGACGGCCUUCGGGUUGUAAACCGCUUUCGCCUGUGACGAAGCGUGAGUGACGGUAAUGGGUAAAGAAGCACCGGCUAACUACGUG
rnacentral:rRNA from 1 species